UAGGGAAUCUUCCACAAUGGGCGCAGCCUGAUGGAGCAACACCGCGUGAGUGAAGAAGGGUUUCGGCUCGUAAAGCUCUGUUGUUAAAGAAGAACACGUAUGAGAGUAACUGUUCAUACGUUGACGGUAUUUAACCAGAAAGUCACGGCUAACUACGUGCCA
rnacentral:rRNA from 1 species